UACGUAGGGCGCAAGCGUUGUCCGGAAUUAUUGGGCGUAAAGAGCUCGUAGGCGGUCUGUUACGUCCGCUGUGAAAACCCAGGGCUUAACCCUGGGCCUGCAGUGGAUACGGGCAGACUAGAGGUAGGUAGGGGAGAAUGGAAUUCCCGGUGUAGCGGUGAAAUGCGCAGAUAUCGGGAGGAACACCGGUGGCGAAGGCGGUUCUCUGGGCCUUACCUGACACUGAGGAGCGAAAGCGUGGGGAGCGAACAGG
rnacentral:rRNA from 1 species